rnacentral:rRNA from 1 species
UCAAAAACAUCGCCUCUUGCAAAAUUAAUGAAUAAGAGGUCCCGCCUGCCCUGUGACUAUACGUUUAACGGCCGCGGUAUCUUGACCGUGCGAAGGUAGCGCAAUCACUUGUCUUUUAAAUAGGGACCUGUAUGAAUGGCAUAACGAGGGCUUGACUGUCUCCUUUUUCAAGUCAAUGAAAUUGAUCUCCCCGUGCAGAAGCGGGGAUAAGCACAUAAGACGAGAAGACCCUGUGGAGCUUUAGACACCAAGGCAAACCACGUUAAGCACCCCUGAUACAGGAUUAAACUAAGUGAGCCCUGCCCUAAUGUCUUCGGUUGGGGCGACCAUGGGGUAAAAUAAACCCCCCACGCGGAAAGGGAGGACCACCCUCCCAAAGCCAAGAGUUCCCACUCUAAUAAACAGAACUUCUGACCUAAAGAUCCGGCAAAGCCGAUCAACGGACCAAGUUACCCCAGGGAUAACAGCGCAAUCCUCUUUUAGAGCCCAUAUCGACAAGGGGGUUUACGACCUCGAUGUUGGAUCAGGACAUCCUAAUGGUGCAGCCGCUAUUAAGGGUUCGUUUGUUCAACGAUUAAAGUCCUACGUGAUCUG